CCUACGGGUGGCAGCAGUCGAGAAUUUUUCUCAAUGGGGGAAACCCUGAAGGAGCGACGCCGCGUGGAGGAUGAAGGUCUUCGGAUUGUAAACUCCUGUCAUUUGGGAACUAGUACCAUAAGAGGAAGAGACGGCUAACUCUGUGCCAGCAGCCGCGGUAAUACAGAGGUCUCAAGCGUUGUUCGGAUUCAUUGGGCGUAAAGGGUGCGUAGGUGGCGGGGUAAGUCAGGUGUGAAAUCUCGAGGCUCAACCUCGAAACUGCACUUGAUACUGCCUUGCUUGAGUACUGGAGAGGAGAUUGGAAUUUACGGUGUAGCAGUGAAAUGCGUAGAUAUCGUAAGGAAGACCAGUGGCGAAGGCGAAUCUCUGGACAGUACUGACACUGAGGCACGAAGGCCAGGGGAGCAAACGGGAUUAGAUACCCCAGUAGUC
rnacentral:rRNA from 1 species